rnacentral:lncRNA from 10 species
UUGGAGUAACAAUAAAACUCCAGUCUCCCACACAGACGGCUCUGUGUGAAUUACUCUUUCUCCAUUGCAAUUCCCCUGUCUUGUUGAAUCGGCUCUGUCCAGGUAGUGCGCAAGGUGAACCCCUUGGGUGGUUACAAAUUUGGGGGCUUGUCCGGGAUUGUCCUUGUGGCUACCUGCCCCUGGUUCAGUGGCUCCCCUCCAGCAAUGGAUCCAGAAGCCAGCCCAAGCGGCCACCUAGUUCUGGGGACUGGGGACUGGGGACUCUGGUACUCUCUCUACUGGCAGGGUGCUGCCGACCCAAUAUGCAUGGAUUUAAUUGCAAUGGAGAAAUAGUCCUGGGAAGACGUCCCUUAACUGUAGCCCUAUGACAGGGUAUCUGUCUGUAGCCCCAUGGUGGGUGUCUUUCUGUAGCCCCAUUGCGGGGUGUCUGGAUUGAGACCCCAUUGUGAAUUACCGUUUGGAGGUCGUCCCUUCCCACCUGGAAUGAAUCAAAGACAACAGGGACCAACGGGAAAAAGUUUGAGCUUUGCCAGGUUAAUACUUGGUGCCGAACAAGCUAUGGUGCGGUGAGCAGGGUCAUCAGAAGCCACUCCAUUCUUCAGGAAGCUGCAGAGAAAGGGAGCCCGGAAACCUGGUAUGCUGGCAAAAAAGGGUAAGAAAUUCCUACCAGCCAAGUUUCUGGACCCCCCCCCUCUCUCUCUGUCUGGGUAAACAGUAAAUGUCACUACUUGUCUCUCUGCAAGGGUUUGAUGAACAGAAAAAGGAUUUGUGAGACUCGUCUUAGGCGGUAGCAAAUCUGGUGUACUUUGUGCUAAGAAUUUGCUUUUCUGUGUUCUAUAAUGGAGAAAGGAGUAUCACAGGAUAGAAUGUGGGUUUAAGACCCCCAUAAGCUUGCAGCAGGCUGGUCAGUUACAAACUUUGCUACAGGUCUCUGAAACCAAUAAAUACUGUAUGAAAUUCCUCUGUCUUGUUCUGUGUCCUUAAGAGCUUAACCUUGUGACUAUGUGGGGAUACUUUCUCUUGGUUUCCGCCAUCCAGAGGACAGGAAUUUUGAGGUCCAUGUCAUAGCCCUAAAAAUUAUCUUAAGCAGUUAAAAGCCAUUGCAAGCUUGAAACUGGCUUCUCUAGGCUCCUUCUGGGAGGAGCAAUAGAAACUGCUCACUGCUCUCCGACUCAGUAGCUAAGGCUUUGCUUUUUGACAGUAGCAGCCUGGGUUCUAUUCUUGGCUUCCGGAAUGAUUCCUUUCCGGUUUUUUACUUAUGUAACUUUGCCAUUUAUUGAGGUUUUCCCCCCUAUUAGCUUCUGAUUCGCAGUCUUAAAUUUUCCUUUCUCUAAACUACCCUGGGGGACAUUCUAAAUCUUGUAAAAGAAAAAAAAGAGAGAGAAAAAAAAGAAACUGCUCACCAUCUCUUUAAGACACCUAUGUGUCCAUGGUUAAGUUAUAACCUUAAUUAUGUAAAUCAUUAAAGUAAUUAUGCAAAUUAGUAAAGUAAAACUGAUUAAUUUCAUGUGGGACGUUACCUGUGGUAAAAUU